rnacentral:rRNA from 1 species
UGGGGAAUUUUGGACAAUGGGCGCAAGCCUGAUCCAGCCAUGCCGCGUNUCUGGAGAAGGCCUUCGGGUUGUACGAGGACUUUUGUCAGGGAAGAAAAGGCUGUUGCUAAUAUCGACAGCUGAUGACGGUACCUGAAGAAUAAGCACCGGCUAACUACGUGCCAGCAGCCGCGGUAAUACGUAGGGUGCGAGCGUUAAUCGGAAUUACUGGGCGUAAAGCGAGCGCAGACGGUUACUUAAGCAGGAUGUGAAAUCCCCGGGCUCAACCUGGGAACUGCGUUCUGAACUGGGUGACUAGAGUGUGUCAGAGGGAGGUAGAAUUCCACGUGUAGCAGUGAAAUGCGUAGAGAUGUGGAGGAAUACCGAUGGCGAAGGCAGCCUCCUGGGAUAACACUGACGUUCAUGCUCGAAAGCGUGGGUAGCAAACAGGAUUAGAUACCCUGGUAGUCCACGCCCUAAACGAUGUCAAUUAGCUGUUGGGCAACUUGAUUGCUUAGUAGCGUAGCUAACGCGUGAAAUUGACCGCCUGGGGAGUACGGUCGCAAGAUUA